AUAAUAACACUAGAUAGAAUAACGACAUUAGAAUAACAACACUAGGUAGAAUAAUAACACUAGAUAGAAUAACGACAUUAGAAUAACAACACUAGGUAGAAUAAUAACACUAUGUAGAAUAAUAACACUAGGUAGAAUAACAACACUAGGUAGAAUAAUAACACUAGAUAGAAUAACGACAUUAGAAUAACAACACUAGGUAGAAUAAUAACACUAGAUAGUAUAACGACAUUAGAAUAACAACACUAG